UACAGAGGGGGCAAGCGUUGUUCGGAAUUACUGGGCGUAAAGCGUGCGCAGGCGGCUAUGCAAGACAGAUGUGAAAUCCCCGGGCUCAACCUGGGAACUGCAUUUGUGACUGCAUGGCUAGAGUACGGUAGAGGGGGAUGGAAUUCCGCGUGUAGCAGUGAAAUGCGUAGAUAUGCGGAGGAACACCGAUGGCGAAGGCAAUCCCCUGGACCUGUACUGACGCUCAUGCACGAAAGCGUGGGGAGCAAACAGG
rnacentral:rRNA from 1 species